rnacentral:rRNA from 1 species
CCUACGGGAGGCAGCAGUGGGGAAUAUUGGGCAAUGGGCGCAAGCCUGACCCAGCAACGCCGCGUGAAGGAAGAAGGCUUUCGGGUUGUAAACCUCUUUUGUCGGGGAGCAAAAGACGCCACGCGUGGCGUUCCGAGAGUACCCGAAGAAAAAGCAUCGGCUAACUCCGUGCCAGCAGCCGCGGUAAUACGGAGGAUGCGAGCGUUAUCCGGAUUUAGUGGGUUUAAAGGGUGCGCAGGCGGAAGAUCAAGUCAGCGGUAAAAUUGAGAGGCUCAACCUCGCUCCGCCGUUGAAACUGGCGUUCUUGAGUGGGCGAGAAGUAUGCGGAAUGCGUGGUGUAGCGGGGAAAUGCAUAGAUAACACGCAGAACUCCGAUUGCGAAGGCAGCAUACCGGCGCCCAACUGACGCUGAAGCACGAAAGCGUGGGUAUCGAACAGGAUUAGAUACCCUAGUAGUC